rnacentral:rRNA from 1 species
UCAGCUCGUGUCGUGAGAUGUCAAAAUAUAUGAAUCUUUACUAUUGACGUUUGUUACUAAUGUUAAACUGCGGUAAAUCAUUCUGAUUCUGUUGUUCAGUUCAGUUUAAUUCCUGAUUUGUCGAGAAAUGAAGGCAGCAUUCGAAUCAAACUAUCAUAAAACGAUAACCGCUACAAUGGGCUGCAAAGUAA